CAACCCUUUUAUGAGGUUCCGUGUCCUUCAGUACUUAUUUUAUAUUUUUGUCUUCCAGAGAGGGAAGCACUAACAAUCUGGCGCCAUACCAGUCAGCCUUCUUCAAGCAGUCGACAGCCGCGCCUCUCUCCAGCAGGGAAGGGAUUCCUCGGAGGCUGCAAUCAAUCCUGUGUGUGUUCUUUCUUUAGAGCAAGCUCUGCCGAAUGCAGGGGUACUUCCUAAGCAUGCACAGAAUCAGGCUGCAUAGCUUUGUGUAAGAAACCUGCAAGGUGAAGUUACAUUUUUAUGUACCAGAAGUGGUGUUGUUAAAUAGCCUCUGCUCUGUACCUAUAAUAAUACACAUUCUUAACUCGA